UCCCCAAGGCGUUUUGCUCGCGCCAUCUCUUGUGUAGAUCUGUAUCAAGUGCAGACCAGUGUAUGCGUCAGCUCCCGAAAAGGAUUCCUCACCUGGCUUCCUGUGCAGCCUCAGUUUACCACAGUGUCCGUCAAUACAAAUCCACCACAGACGGUGUGUCUACUCUCGGAGCAAAACAGCCACCACACGGUACCCGAAAGAGAAAACAUGAAGAAAACCAAAACAGGCCCCCAGGCUAAAGCACAGGGUUCAGUGUUAGGUGUGGCAUCUGCGUCUUGAGGCAUCAAAGGCCAACUGGAAGGGCAGGACCAAGCUCUGCAGCCCAG
rnacentral:lncRNA from 1 species